GAUGAAGAACGUAGCGAAAUGCGAUAAGUAGUGUGAAUUGCAGAAUUCAGUGAAUCAUCGAAUCUUUGAACGAACAUUGCGCCCCUUGGUAUUCCAUGGGGCAUGCCUGUUCGAGCGUCAUUUGUACCCUCAAGCUCUGCUUGGUGUUGGGUGUUUGUCCACUCCCUGGUGUCUGGACUCGCCUUAAAGCAAUUGGCAGCCAGUGUUUUGGUAUUGAAGCGCAGCACAUUUUGCGUCUCCAGCCUAGAACGCUUGCGUCCAGUAAGCCUUUUUCCACUUUUGACCUCGGAUCAGGUAGGGAUACCCGCUGAACUUAAGCAUAUCAAUAAGCGGAGGA
rnacentral:misc_RNA from 1 species